GCUUACGGCCAUACCACCCUGAACACGCCCGAUCUCGUCUGAUCUCGGAAGCUAAGCAGGUCGGGCCUGGUCAGUACUUGGAUGGGAGACCGCCUGGGAAUACCAGGUGCUGUAAGCU
rnacentral:rRNA from 1 species